UGGCUGGAGAGAGCUGCUGAGAUUGGCGGGUUGCACUUCCAGGGGUGCUUGUUCUUUGUGUCCUGAGCAGGGUGACCAGAUGUCCCGAUUUUAUAGGGACAGUCCCGAUUUUUGGGUCUUUUUCUUAAGUAGGCUCCUAUUACCCCCCAACCCCCAUCUCGAUUUUUCAUAUUUGCUGUCUGGUCAUCCUAGUCCUGAGCCCUAAGAGCCCCAGUAAACAACCAGGAACCCACUGUGGGAGGUGUUGUACAGACACAAAACAAAGACAGUCCCUGCUUCAGAGAGCUUACAAGGGGGUUGCCAUGGGUGAAGCUGCCCCUUGGGGAAACUAGUCUCUGGCCCCGUCUCCUCCAGCCGAGACCAUGCCCAUGCUCCCUGCUCUCAGCCCCCCAUGGCCCCAGCCAGGGCGGAGGAAGGCUGGGAGCUGGGUUGGGGCCACAGCGGCAGGGCUGAGAACUCGGCCCUGGGCAGGGUCGAGCUCUCAGCCUUGGCUGGGAGAGCAGCAGAGCUCUCGUCCCUGGCUGGAGCUCUGAUCCCAGAGUCCCUCCCCCAUUUUGCCCAUGGCCUUACCCCCAUACGGCCUCUUCCCCCAUACGGACCCAGCCCCAUUCCGCCGCUUCCCCUGCCCUCAUUCCUUUCCCAUUCUGCCUCUUCCUCCUGAGGUCCUGUCCCCUGCUCGGCUUGCUCCUUCUUCCACCCCCAGCGGCCCUGAGACUGGAAAAGCUCUGUGAUGGUGCCACUGCCCCGGGGCCGAGGAGGGGGGAGAUUUUUCCAUGGGCCCCAAAUCCGCCACUGUCCUCCACUGAUGGCAUAAGGUUUGGGGAGGCUUAGCCUCCCCCAGCCUCCAUUAUGCACUCCCCAUGGGGCUUUUGAAAAUCUCACACCUAACUACUGUUUAAACUCUGCCUUUCUUAGCUGUGCCCACUUUCCAUUCAGCCACAUUUCCUUUCUCUCUGACUGUACCCCUUGCUCCCCACAUGAGAAAAUUGUAUUUAUGGCACAUAUACUUACGGUAAAAUAGCUGGUGUGACUAAGGGAAGGCUGAUAAUGAAAAGAGAUAUCACUUUAUAGUGUAAUUCCAAUAGGUGUCAGAGGUACAGGCCAACGUAAGCAAGCUUAGGCUGAAUGGGAGAUGACCAAAGAAAACCCAGCAGUUUCAGGAAGCAGUGCGGAUGAUGCAAUAUGUAACUAUUUAAAUAUUUAUCAAGAAUGGAAGUCAUUGGUCCAGAGAGAGAAAGUGUGGAAUGACUCUGUAGCCUGGUGCCUAGGGCACUCAAUCUGACAGGUUAUUGUUCCAUGUCAUUUACAGACUUUCAUACAAACUACUACCAAAGACACAAAUUGGAUCUGGCUUGGACUCAUCAUUACAUCCCCCAAGAGGAAAAGGAUUUGAGUGGAUGGCUCCCUCUUAAAUCAAACACUGUUGAAGGUAGUGGAUCCUGCUGAAAGGAACAGCUCUGGGGUGAUAAAAGCAGAUGAUAAUCAUUUUGAAAGCUGCACUACUGUAUCUAAAUGAAUUUGUGAAAAAGACACUCUCCUGAUGUAGACAGAGACAUUAGUGAUCUGCACUUCUGUGUGUGAACGAUAAAUCUUCUUUAGUUUCAGUCUGUCACAUGAAUGAUGAAU